ACUUCCCGGAGUGCAGCCUGUCCUAACAGGCUGAUGGCUGGUGACUUUUUAGUCACCAGCCU
rnacentral:sRNA from 1 species